GGUUAAGCGACUAAGCGUACACGGUGGAUGCCCUGGCAGUCAGAGGCGAUGAAGGACGUGCUAAUCUGCGAAAAGCGUCGGUAAGGUGAUAUGAACCGUUACAGCCGGCGAUGUCCGAAUGGGGAAACCCAGUGCAAUUCGUUGCACUAUCGUUUGAUGAAUACAUAGUCAAACGAGGCGAACCGGGGGAACUGAAACAUCUAAGUACCCCGAGGAAAAGAAAUCAACCGAGAUUCCCCCAGUAGCGGCGAGCGAACGGGGAGCAGCCCGGAGUCUGAAUCAGCUUGUGUGUUAGUGGAAGCGUCUGGAAAGUCGCAGGGUACAGGGUGAUACUCCCGUACACUAAAACACACAGGUUGUGAACUCGAAGAGUAGGGCGGGACACGUGGUAUCCUGUCUGAAUAUGGGGGGACCAUCCUCCAAGGCUAAAUACUCCUGACUGACCGAUAGUGAACCAGUACCGUGAGGGAAAGGCGAAAAGAACCCCGGCGAGGGGAGUGAAAAAGAACCUGAAACCGUGUACGUACAAGCAGUAGGAGCCCACUUGUUGGGUGACUGCGUACCUUUUGUAUAAUGGGUCAGCGACUUAUAUUCUGUAGCAAGGUUAACCGUAUAGGGGAGCCGCAGGGAAACCGAGUCUUAACUGGGCGUUAAGUUGCAGGGUAUAGACCCGAAACCCGGUGAUCUAGCCAUGGGCAGGUUGAAGGUUGGGUAACACUAACUGGAGGACCGAACCGACUAAUGUUGAAAAAUUAGCGGAUGACUUGUGGCUGGGGGUGAAAGGCCAAUCAAACCGGGAGAUAGCUGGUUCUCCCCGAAAGCUAUUUAGGUAGCGCCUCGUGAAUUCAUCUUCGGGGGUAGAGCACUGUUUCGGCUAGGGGGUCAUCCCGACUUACCAACCCGAUGCAAACUACGAAUACCGAAGAAUGUUAUCACGGGAGACACACGGCGGGUGCUAACGUCCGUCGUGAAGAGGGAAACAACCCAGACCGCCAGCUAAGGUCCCAAAGUCAUGGUUAAGUGGGAAACGAUGUGGGAAGGCCCAGACAGCCAGGAUGUUGGCUUAGAAGCAGCCAUCAUUUAAAGAAAGCGUAAUAGCUCACUGGUCGAGUCGGCCUGCGCGGAAGAUGUAACGGGGCUAAACCAUGCACCGAAGCUGCGGCAGCGACGCUUAUGCGUUGUUGGGUAGGGGAGCGUUCUGUAAGCCGUUGAAGGUGGCCUGUGAGGGUUGCUGGAGGUAUCAGAAGUGCGAAUGCUGACAUAAGUAACGAUAAUGCGGGUGAAAAACCCGCACGCCGGAAGACCAAGGGUUCCUGUCCAACGUUAAUCGGGGCAGGGUGAGUCGACCCCUAAGGCGAGGCCGAAAGGCGUAGUCGAUGGGAAACAGGUUAAUAUUCCUGUACUUGGUGUUACUGCGAAGGGGGGACGGAGAAGGCUAUGUUGGCCGGGCGACGGUUGUCCCGGUUUAAGC
rnacentral:rRNA from 1 species